UACGUAGGGUGCAAGCGUUGUCCGGAAUUAUUGGGCGUAAAGAGCUCGUAGGCGGUUCGUCGCGUCGGCUGUGAAAUCCCGGAGCUCAACUCCGGGUCUGCAGUCGAUACGGGCGGACUUGAGUUCGGCAGGGGAGACUGGAAUUCCUGGUGUAGCGGUGAAAUGCGCAGAUAUCAGGAGGAACACCGGUGGCGAGGGCGGGUCUCUGGGCCGAUACUGACGCUGAGGAGCGAAAGCGUGGGGAGCGAACAGG
rnacentral:rRNA from 1 species